UACGUAGGGUGCGAGCGUUAAUCGGAAUUACUGGGCGUAAAGCGUGCGUAGGCGGCUCAGUAAGUCGGAUGUGAAAACUCGGGGCUCAACCCCGAGACGCCAUCCGAUACCGCUGUGGCUUGAGUCUGGUAGGGGAACACGGAAUUCCUGGUGUAGCGGUGAAAUGCGCAGAUAUCAGGAGGAACACCGAUGGCGAAGGCAGUGUUCUGGGCCAGUACUGACGCUGAGGAGCGAAAGCGUGGGUAGCAAACAGG
rnacentral:rRNA from 1 species